rnacentral:rRNA from 1 species
GGAUUAGGCAUGCAAGUCGAACGAAAGAAUUUUCAAUCAAUCCUUCGGGAGAGAGCGAUUAUUCGAAAGUGGCGAAAGGGUUAGUAACGCGUGGGCAAUCUGCCCUCAAGUUGGGAAUAGCCCGCCGAAAGGCGGAUUAAUGCCGAAUGUGGUUUACGGUCGCAUGACUGUAACACUAAAGGUGGGGAUCCUCGGACCUGCCGCUUGGGGAGGAGCCCGCGUACGAUUAGCUUGUUGGUGAGGUAACGGCCCACCAAGGCUCUGAUCGUCAGCUGGUCUGAGAGGAUGAUCAGCAACACUGGGACUGAGACACUGCCCAGACUCCUACGGGAGGCUGCAGUCGAGAAUCAUUCGCAAUGCCCGAAAGG